AAAGUUUGACAGACAAUCGCUGGCGGCCUUGUUGCUGCGAGAGGAAAGUCCGGGCUCCGUAGGGCGAAGAUGCUGGAUAACGUCCAGUCGGCGCGAGCCGAAGGAUAGUGCCACAGAAAUGGACCGCCGAUGGCUAGCUGCUUUAGCUAGCACAGGCAAGGGUGGAACCGUGGUGUAAGAGACCACGAGGACCAUUGGUGACAAUGGUGCUGGUAAACCCCAUCUGGAGCAAGACCGAGAGAACGUAUAUGCCCUUGCCCGGGGCGCGUUCGGGUGUGUCGCUUGAGCCGAUUAGCAAUGAUUGGCCUAGAUAGAUGAUUGUCGCUUCAUAAGUGGGAGGGUAGCCCCCGUUUGACCACGCGAAGUACAGAACCCGGCUUACGGCAAGCUUUCCAC
rnacentral:RNase_P_RNA from 1 species